ensembl:lncRNA
AUGGAAUUACAUCCAGAGUAUGAUGUUUGUGGUGCACGUCCCAAACGGCACAUUCGCCCACCUGUGCGCUAUGCAGAUUAUGAGGUUGAUUAUAGGGGCUACAUCGGUGAGAGGUACAGAGAGGAAUUAGAGAGUACUCACCAGGAGGGAAAUGCCAGGAUGACACCCCUCACCUCCCCUUAUGACUCUUCCCUUCGCCUGCAGAGGCGGGAUGCUAUUCUUCAGGAGAUGGACCUGGGCUAUAGGGCGGAGAACCAACAGCCCAGCCAGAAGAAUCAGCUAGCCCCCCAGCGGUUUCCAGAGAGAGAGUUUAGGGAACAGCUACGAGAUUACUCUACUCCCCUGCCUUCAGUGCUGCACCCCAUACAUCCACAGGAGGAGAGCCGAGUUGAGUUAGAUGACAUUCGUCAUGAAAGACACCUUCUGCAGCAGACACAGCGGGACAUGGCAUCAGACUUAGUCGAGCUUAGAGCAUUGCGAGCAGACAUGAAACAGUUAGUAGAUGCUGUUCGCAACAUGCAGAGUCCAACCUCUAUUCAUACCAGAAAGCCAGAGUUAAUGGUGAUGUCGCCAUGGCCACCUGUUGAACGCAAACCUAAAGCUGAGGAAGAGGAUGAUUGGCCUGCACCACCACCAUGGCCAGACCCAGAAUUGGACGAGCCUCUCCCUAGUGACCCACCUAUAGCACACUCGCUUAUCAGUAGAAUAGAUGAGGUUCCAAGAAUUAAGGAAGAAGCACCACCAGCCACAGCUCCUAACAUGUUUGUGGGCCAGCCACAAGUUAAUCACUCAGCACGUGAGGCCCUUCCUACCGCCAGGCCAUGGGAGGACACUGCCCGUCAUCCACCUCCCUGGUUCAAGCCCGUUCAGUUUCUGCCGCAGCCACACAGAUUACCUUCAGCUGAGCCCAAGUACCCUACUGCUUAUGGUGGUCAACGGAGUGAGCUUGGCUUCAACCUAACGCCCCAACAGCGACAUCCCGGCAUGGCAUGGACACAGCCCCCGCCUUUUAGCUCACCUCAGGAUCGUAACUACAGCAUCCCAGAGCCAAGUUACCGUGGGCCACGCCCAACAAUCCGCAACUUCUCAAGUCGGGACCCAAGUGAGUUCGCGCGGCUCAAGAUCUCAUUGGAGAACCUCCUACCACAUGAUGCAUCUGAGCUGUUUAAAUAUCAAGUGUUGGUCGAUCACCUGCAACUAGAAGAAGCCAGGUUAAUAGCAGAUGCUUACCUUAACUCCCCAACACCCUUCUCAGACACAAUGGUUGCCCUCAAUGACAAGUUCGGCCGGCCACAUCAGAUAGCGCUGAGGCGUAUUGCUGCUGUGAUGGACUCACCAGACAUAAAGCGGGGAGACUUUGCCGCAUUUGAGAAGUUUGCACUCCAGAUACAAUCACUGGUGGGGAUGCUGAAGACACUAGGCCACGAGGGUGAAGUGGAACUACAAUGUGGCUCACAUGUUGCUCGUCUGUUGAGCAAGCUGCCGCCUGAGCAGAGAGCAGAGUUUCGCCGCUGCAUGUACCAUCAGGGCACACAAACCCACACCUUAACUAAUCUUUCAGAUUGGUUGAAAUACGAGUCUUGGUGCCAGGACUCUGAAGGACAGUUAGCUGGGAGAGGAGCUCGGGAGAAGCCGGUGUCCAGAUAUGAGGGUAGGAAGGGUAAGCAACCUACUACUGUCCUCCAUGGUGUGAAGGACACUGCUAAGAAAUCUGAGGCUCCAGUUCCAAGCAGCUCCUUCAAAAGGAACAAGAGCAAGCCAUAUUGUCCAUUCUGCAAUAAUGAGGAACACUACCUUAGCCAGUGCACAGAGGUAUCCAGGCUAACAAAGGAUCAGCUGACCGAAUGGAUAAAAAGUAACAAGAGGUGUUGGCGAUGUGCACGGCCACACCAGGCGGCCCAGUGCAACUUAAAAAAGACAUGCAGCCUCUGCCAAGGGAAACAUCUCCAGGUUCUGCAUGAGGUGAAUAUGAGGUCAUCCAAGGAGGCAGCGUCAACACCGGCAGCGGAAAGCCAAGGCACAAGGGGGACAACAGAGGUUCUGUAUUUAGACAGACCCACUGAAGGCAGUCGGGUCCUUCUGAAAGUUGUCAAAGUCCGCCUUCACCAUGGUGACCAAUCAAUCAACACCUAUGCCAUACUUGAUGACGGUUCAGAGAGAACUAUGCUGUUGUCAGAUGCUGCAGAGAAGCUAGGUGUGCAGGGGAUUCAAGAGGACCUACCACUACGUACAAUUAGAGAGGAAGUGCAGACACUUCGUGGUGCAUCAGUGUCGUUCUUUAUUUCUUCGCCAUUAAAGCCAAAGACCAAGUUUAAGAUUACAGGUGCAUUCACUAGUGAUCGUAUUGGACUAGCUGCCCAUACUUACCCCAUGGAGCAACUCCGGAACACCUACAAGCACCUCACUGGCCUUCCCAUACGGACUCUUAUAAAUGUCAAACCCCUGCUUCUAAUUGGGAGUGACCAUCCCCAUCUCGUCACUCCCAUUGAACCUGUCAGAUUGGGACCUCCAGGUGGGCCUGCUGCCAUCCGCACAAGGCUGGGCUGGACUCUGCAGGGCCCAUCGAGUGUAGUCCGUCACCACGCCCAAUCACAGCAGUGUCUAUUUACAACAGUAACACCCCAGGUGAGCGAGCUUAUGAAACAUGUUGAGAGAUUAUGGCAGGUCGACAUUGUUCCAUUCAGAAGCGAGAAACUAGUUACUCGUUCAAGGCAGGACCAAGAGGCCAUCAGCAUCCUGGAGACCAAAACCAUCAGGGUAGAGGUUGAUGGCAUUCUCCGUUACGCAACCCCACUGCUCCGCCGGAAAGACAUGCCGCUCUUUCAGGCUACCAAAGAAGCCGUCAUGCCCUGUUUACGAAGUGUAGAGAGGCGACUUGCCAGAGAUCCUGCACGAGCAGAAGCCUACAGAGUGGAGAUGGAGAAAUUAAUAAAGGCGGGCUCUGUCAUCAAGUGUGGACCGAAAGUUUCAGACAAGGAAGGUUGUGAGGAAUGGUAUAUCCCUCACCAUAUGGUGAGCCAUAAUGGCAAGAAUAGGCUGGUAUUCAACUGCUCCUAUCAGUAUCGAGGGCAGAACCUCAACGACCAUCUACUGCCUGGGCCGACCUUAGGAGCAUCACUACUGGGAGUUCUGCUAAGAUUCCGAGAGCAUGCAGUUGCAGUUAGCGGAGACAUUAGAGGCAUGUUCCACCAAGUUCGCCUCCUCCCAGAGGAUCGUGCUCUGCUCAGAUUUCUUUGGCGCGACAUCAGUCAAGAAGGACCUCCUGCAGUGUUCGAGUGGCAGGUGCUACCGUUUGGUACAACAUGUAGCCCCUGCUGUGCCACAUUCGCCUUACAGCGCCAUGUCUCUGAUAACAGCCAGCCAGAUGAAGAUGUGAGGAUAUCAGUUCAGAAAUGUUUUUAUGUAGAUAACUGCCUCCAGAGUGUUCCCACAAUUGCUGAAGCGAGGCAUUUAGUCGACAAACUACGAGCCAUUCUUGCGUCUGCAGGCUUCGAUCUACGUCAGUGGGCCAGCAAUGAACCAGGUGUAAUAAGUCACCUACCAGAAGAGAGCUGCUCUGCUAGUGUUGAGUUGUGGCUGGCUCAGAACAAGAUCGAUACCCCAGAAUCUACUCUAGGGCUAAGCUGGCUCUUCCACACUGAUGUUCUUGGUUACAAGCAUCGUCAUGUGGAGUACGGUGUCCCCACGAUGCGUAAUAUCUACAAGGUGCUGGCGAGUCAGUACGAUCCAUUGGGCUUCAUCCUACCCUACACCACCAGGGCUAAGAUAAUCGUCCGACACCUUUGGGACAAACACAGGGGAUGGGAUGAUCCACUACUACCGCAGGAGCUUCUGCAGCAAUGGAAAGACUGGGAAGAAGAACUACAAGUCUUACCUCAAGUCACCCUGCCCCGCCCGUACUUGUCAAAGUCUGUGGACAUCUCCGGUCUUCAGAGAGAGGUGCAUGUAUUUUGUGACGCCUCAGAAGAGGCGUAUGGUUCAGUGGCGUACCUCCGGACCACUGACCGACAUGGUGAAGUGUAUCUGUCAUUCCUGAUGGCCCGUUCCAGAGUCGCUCCUAAGCGAUUUCACUCUAUGCCCCGAUUAGAACUCUGUGCUGCCCUUACUGGUGCACAGCUCUCUCAGGUGCUGAAGAGGGAGCUUACCAUCCACAUUGAUCGGACAACCCUUUGGUCAGAUUCCACAACGGUGCUGACAUGGCUGAGGUCUGAAUCCUGCCGGUUCAAGGUCUUUGUGGGCACCCGCGUGGCCGAGAUACAGGAGCUGACUGACGGGCAUGCCUGGAGAUAUGUUGAUACCGCAAGAAACCCUGCGGAUGACGUAACACGCGGAAAGAAGCUGCGAGAGCUUAUUCAGCCAAAUAGAUGGAGCCUGGGACCAGCCUUCCUCUUGAACAGUCCAGUCUCAUGGCCAGAGGACCCCACUGUUGACCAAACAGAAGAUACCUCAGAGCUACGCAAGCCUAUCUUCUGUGGGGUCGCCGCCGUUGCAUCAAGCCAGUCAACUUCAGACCUGGGCCAAUACGGCUCGUGGAAGGAGUUGUUGGAAGGGACAGUGCAGGAGCUGCAUGGGGCGGCCAACUCUAAUGAUAAGCCCACAGCUGAAGACUACCGACAGGCUGAACAGUUAAUACUUCAGAGGGCUCAGAGGGAUAGUUUUCAGCAGGAGUACAGCCUCCUGAAAGCUGGUAAACCCGUCCCCAGCUACAGUCGACUUCGCACGCUGUCUCCAGAGCUGGAUGGAAAGGGAGAGCUCAUUCGUGUUGGAGGACGACUCCGUCGAGCAGAAGGCCUAGAACUGACCACUCUUCAUCCAGUCAUCUUGGACCCAGGUCAUCGAGUAACUACGCUCUUGAUUCAAGACUUUGAUAACCGCCUCCGCCACCCAGGACCAGAGCGGGUGUUCGCCGAGCUUCGACGCUCCUUCUGGAUCCUGCGAGGGCGUGAGGCUAUCCGGCGCUACCAGUAUAGCUGCGCUGACUGUCGACGAUGGAGGGCAAAACCUGCAGUGCCGAAGAUGGCAGACCUGCCAUCAGCCCGUCUGCGCCUUUUCAAGCCUGCUUUCUAUUCUACGGGGAUGGACUGCUUUGGGCCAUUUGAGAUCAAAGUGGGCCGGCGCCGGGAGAAGAGAUGGGGGAUCAUUUUCAAGUGCCUCACAACUAGGGCGGUGCACUUGGACCUCCUUACCGCUAUUGAUACGGAUGCUUUUCUAAUGUCCCUUCGUCGGUUUAUUGCCCGUAGAGGAACACCUGCAGAGCUGUUCUCUGAUCAGGGGACAAAUUUCAAGGGAGGUGAGCGGGAACUCCGUGAAACUUUCGUUGAAAUGUCUAAAGAACUACAACAUCUCCUUGCACCACAGAAGAUCUCCUUCCGCUUUAACCCCCCAGCAGCUCCCCAUUUCGGAGGGGUGUGGGAGAGGGAGAUACGCUCAGUUAAGAGCGCACUCUAUGCCACAGUCGGUGCUCAGCCUGUUCCAGAAGAAGUGCUUCGGACCGUACUUACUGAGGUGGAAGGGAUCCUUAACAGUAAACCCUUGGGUUAUGUGUCUUCAGAUGCCAGCGACCCAGAUCCAGUGACUCCCAGUGUUCUUCUCAUGGGGCGGCCUGAUGGUUCGCUACCUCAGGUAGUCUACCCCGAAAGUGAGCUCAUCUGUCGCCGGCGUUGGAAGCACUCCCAAAUCUUGGCUGAUCACUUCUGGGCCCGUUUCAUCCGACUCUAUGUGCCGAGUCUACAAGCUCGCCAGAAGUGGCAGGCUACACCAGCUGAUAUUGCAGGGGACUGUGUAGUGAUGAUCGCUGAUCCGCAUCUUCCGAGGGCCCUCUGGCCCAUUGGAAAAGUAGUCAAGACUCAUCCCAGCCCUGACGGGCACAUCAGGUCCGCUGAUGUAAAGGUGAAGGAGAGAAUCUACACCCGGCCAGUUGCCAGGCUGGUUGUUCUCCCUGCACUUCCUUCUGGAGAAGAUGGAGAUGGUUUCACUCCUGCCACUACACCCCAGCCAUAG